UUAAACGUUACAAUACGGUAUUUUACAUCAAUUUUCUACGAUUCAACCUAAUUUCUUCCAUUGUCUCAACGAAUUCGGCGCCAUCCUCCAUUAACCGGAUUACACUCGAGAGCUCGUAAAGAUCUUCGAACGGGGACGACCGACUUUCUCACGAGUAUAUCUCUACUUUUAGCUAACCGAACGACCUUGACAUCGAUUCACAUUCGCGUCCAUGACAAACGGAGAGGAACGUGACGCCUGUAUACUUCGACCAUGUUUGUGUGUCCUAUGUGUAUGUACUAUGCAUACAUAUAAAUACACACACACACAUAUAUAUACACAUAGAGAGGAAUGAUCGUUGCUUGACGUUGUUGUUGGCUCGUUGAGAGGAUAGCGCGCUUCGCGAAGCGCAAAGGUCGGGGAUACUCUGCAACCCGUUUCGGUAACGCGUAAAACUUUAUAGGCGACCAUAAAGACGGACGUUUAGCUUUAUUUGGGCAGUGUAAGAGGGAGAGACCGUUCUUAGCUGUCAAACGCAUGAGUUCGAGGGAACCUAACGGGAGAGAGAAUCUCUGAGGCCUAUGAACCGAGCGACGGCCGACGCUUUAGGCUUUUAUCCGAAGGAACAAGAAAUUCGGAUGAAAAUAUUACUGACACAACACCGGGAUACCUUAAAUAUCAAUAUUUAAACCACGAAGAAUACACAGAAUGUCAAUGAAUAUUCGAUGUCACAUAAAAAAAAUUUCACAUCGAUUUUGACUGUCGAAUGAAUCAAUGGCCAAUGGAUGGACGAUUAUUGUCAGGAAGAAACGAGAAGAAACGAGAAGAAAUAAAUCUUGAAUUUUCUGAGUACGAAUAAUUAUGAAUUUAGAUAUAAUCAUUGAAAAAAUUCUGUACCUACGGCAUUGGAGACAUUUUAGGCCUA